rnacentral:lncRNA from 10 species
CGGGCCACUAGCCAGUCCACUGGGGACAUCCCUCAGAGAGGGGAGGGGAGGGAGAGACAGGGCGGACACCCAGGCUGGCACACUGUGGCCAGCCACCCGGCUCCACUGACUGGCGGUUUCGUGUCUGGCUCCCUGAGGUCCAGAUGGUCCCAACACGUCCCUGGGGGGAGGAAGUCCCAUGAAGAAAUAAAGAACAUGUGGUGAAUCACAGAGAAGUGGCUGAAAAGAUUCAAGCCUCAACCUUGGUCCUCCCUAGUCACAUGACCACAGGCAAACCUCUUCUCUCUCAGCCUCAGUUUUUGCAUCAGUGCAAUAGGAAUGGUAUCUGCCAUGCUAACCUCACAGGACUGCUGUGUGUUCAGAUGAAUCAGGUAUGUGAAAGACACUUCUGCAAGCGGGAAAGAGGUGUGCAAAGGCAAUUUGCUUUUACAGAACUUAUAUUACUGUCAUUUCCCAUCGUUAUUUUAAUGCUCAAAAGGUUUGGGAGACAUUUCUGUAACUGAGGUGUUCAUGGUAAGCCCACACUCACUCCUGCUUGGAAAAGGUUUUACAUAGACUGAGGAGACCUGAGGCAGUUGCUGAGCUGCUUAGAACAGAGUCUCUGGGUCACAGCCAUCCCAUUACUGGGCAUAUCCCCAAAGGAUUGUAAAUCAUGCUGCUAUAAAGACACAUGCACACGUAUGUUUAUUGCAGCACUAUUCACAACAGCAAAGACUUGGAACCAACCCAAAUGUCCAUCAAUGAUAGACUGGAUUAAGAAAAUGUGGCACAUAUACACCAUGGAAUACUAUGCAGCCAUAAAAAAGGAUGAAUUCAUGUCCUUUGUAGGGACAUGGAUGAAGCUGGAAACCAUCAUUCUGAGCAAACUAUCGCAAGGACAGAAAACCAAACACUGCAUGCUCUCACUCAUGGGUGGGAAUUGAACAAUGAGAACACAUGGACA